AUUUGAACUGGAAUUGAAUUAAUUCUGACUCUAAAGCCUGUUCAGUGUCACAGAGUGGUCAAAUACAAUGGCCUCUGGGGCCCAGAGUCAGGGUUCCAUUUCUGGCUUGCCUAUGAUUUGGGGUAAGCUAUGUAACCUCUCUGGGCCUAUUUCUUUUUCUGUAAUAUGGGAAUAAUUACACUGUUUACAUAAUAAAUGGUUUUGUGAAAUUAGAAUUGCUCAGGACAAUGUGUGGCCCAGAAUAAAAAUAGUAAACAUUGUAUCUAUUCUAAUGGAUUGUGUGUUCUCCACACAGCCUCCCUUUUUACUCCAGUUCAUAAACCCAGGGCCCUGCUUCUUUUUACCAAGUUAAUAUUGUGUAACCCUGUAUUUUCCUUAGAAUGUGAAACUGUAGAGAGGAACAGAGUGUGACUAGUCAGGCUUUCCUUUUAUUUGACAUCCCAGGUCUUCCUACAUACAUUCAG
rnacentral:lncRNA from 1 species